rnacentral:rRNA from 1 species
UAGAUGCGAGAGUAGAGCAUAUCAAUAAGCGGAGGAAAAGAAACUAACAAGGAUUCCCUUAGUAACGGCGAGUGAAGCGGGAAGAGCUCAAAUUUGAAAUCUUCAAGGUUCUACCUUGACGAAUUGUAGUUUAUAGAAGUGUUUUCUGUUAGUGGAGUGGCAAAAGUUCUUUGGAAUAGGACAUCAUAGAGGGUGAGAAUCCCGUAUUUGGUCAUUCCUCCUAGCGUUGUGAUACACUUUCAACGAGUCGGAUUGUUUGGGAAUGCAGUCCAAAAUGGGUGGUAAAUUUCUCCUAAAGCUAAAUAUUGGCGAGAGACCGAUAGCGAACAAGUACCGUGAGGGAAAGAUGAAAAGAACUUUGAAAAGAGAGUUAAACAGUACGUGAAAUUGUCAAAAGGGAAGCGUUUGACACCAGUGUUGUUUUUCCGAAAAUCAAUUACGAAUGUUUUAGUUUUUGAGGAGUUAUGACUUCAUCGGCUUGCUCCCUUUCUUUAUGAAACUUUCUUAAUGCACUUUUCGGUUAACAAGUCAACAUCAAUUUCUUUUGUUGUAAAAGGGUAUGAGGGAAGGUGGCUUUCUUUUCGGAGAAAGUGUUUAUAGCCUUGUACCUCUGCAAUCGGAGAGAUUGAGGUCUGCAGCGUAGAUCCUUCGGGGUUAGAUACAUUUGUGCUAAGUUAUAGCUUUUCAUAGACAACUUGUUGACUAUGUUUAGUCUUGUAGCUUACUCGCUUACGCUAUUUUACCUACGCUUAGGAUGUUGACACACGCGCGUGCUCG